rnacentral:tRNA from 1 species
UUGGUAGCUCAGCUGGUAGAGCAGAGGACUGAAAAUCCUUGUGUCGCUGGUUCGAUUCCUGUCUGAA